AUGCACAUCUGCUCAUACAACAUUUUUUGAGAGACACACAGGUACACACACAAAGGAUAUAUUGAGAUUAAUAUAGAUUUAUUUGUGUAACGAAAAUGUCGCUCUAAACCAUGUGAAAAUUGGUAAAAAUCACGACAUUUCGUUGAAUAAGUACAGAAUGCCAAUUGUUUGAUUUCAUCCGAACUUUGGUUCUCCCUUACAUGUUUUAUUUUAUUCUUCUAUAUACGUAUGUAUGUAUGUUCGUAUGUCGAAUCAACCUUUGUCUUUAUGUUUUGCAUUUCCAUAUCUAUAUUGAAAAAGCAACUGUCAAACGGAAGGUGAAGACCAAAAAUGUCGUGCUUGCACUAAUAGAGUAUACUCAUUGAAUUUCAAUAUUAACUCAUCACUACGUGCCCGUCUAUCCCAGAACGAAAUUGAUAAAUGAAAAGUCAUUAUAUCAGUGUGAGGUGCACAAAAAUAUAAAAUUAUAUUUCGUUCAGUGCCACAGUCUCAGAUAUAGUAUGACUGUAAUAAAGCGUCUACGAAAUUAAACAACUAAAUUUAUGUUAAAUAAUCGGAGCGUUUUAGACUUACUUAGGCUUCUUAAAUGUAGCCGAGUAAGCUUGGACAUUUCAACCACUGAAACGUCAGAAUUAUUAGAAUAAAAACCAAGUGCUGAUGUUUCUCUUUGCGAAUUUUGUAGAUAUUCUUAGCAAAUUUAUCAACUUAUUAAAAUUAUAAUUGAUUGACAUCGGCUCCAUUAGUCCCAGCACUCUGAAUAAUUCCAGAAUGUAGUUGGGAGUAAGGGAGUCGAUGCGCCCUCCAAAUUCUGCUCUUGUUUCUGUGAAGUGCUACACAUUUUAAUGGGGAGUUUCAGUCUCCAUGUCACAGAAGCGGCAAGUUUGCGAGGGGGAAAACCCAUUAUAUAUGUAGGUGUUUCCCGAGCUUAUAGUAUCCUAUGUUUAUUAGACACUUGAAUCGUUUGGUGUUGGAGCCUCCCAAUGGGAAUUUACUUGGCGCUGUCAUCUCCGUCCCUUUUUUCCCCCGCCUGAAAAUCUCCCGGAUUGUAUGGAAACCCACAGCCACGAACGGUUCUGCGCCUAACAUUUUAAUUGCAGCUGCAGUUCGAGCUAAUUCGUCCGCGAGCCCGUUCCCUAAUAUCCCUUUAAGUCCCGGCAACCAGAUUGAUUGAAACCCUGUUAUACAUUGAUAGAUAGUUGAGUCUAUCUAUGCAUUCUCUGACCAAGUGGGACUUUGUUUCGUACGAGGUAAUAGCUUUAAGUGCCGCUUGGCUGUCACUCAUGAUGGCAAUAUGUUCUUAACGGCACCUUAGCACAUCGGUUAAUUGCAAACUAACGUUACAAGUAGUCCACGAAUCUGGUUUAUCUACAAGGACCUGGUAAAGCUUUAGUGGUCAUCCUUUCUAUAACUCUUUCAUCACGUCCCCUAUCCACAACAGUUUUUUUUUAGAGUUGGUGGUUCAGAGUUUUUUAUAGAGAAGAGGUCAGGUUAUCGAGCAGGUUGAUAUUAAACUUUAACAACGCUGCCCUUAACCCACUUCUUUAAGUAUACUGUAAUAUAUUUACAUAUUCAUAUUACACCAGUUUAUAGAAAUAAUAGGGGGAUUCUCAUGCCCUCGCAAAACCCUGCUAUGGGUUGUUCUCUUAUCUAGUAUUUUUGUAUUCCGCGCAAUCGUUCAAUCUUUCUGGAGCAAUAUAAUCCCCUAUUAUAUUAUCUUAAGUUUGUUAGAACAUUGGUAGCAAUCGUAAAACUAAUAAAGACAAAACUCAUAACUGCAGAGGACAACGACACAUGAAAUUAUAUGUGAAAGCGUUUGUGCUGAAGAAGCAAGCAACACAAAAUAGUUCGAUGAACUCAGAAGAUAUGAUGUACAAUACGAGUAUAUAAACGCAAAUACAAGAAUGACAAGAGUACUUUUGUCAGACGAAUAUUAAAGGAAUCGCAGCAGUGGGUAUGACACAACAUUAGGUGCAAGAGAAGGCAAUGAGUUUACAGUUAACCGCAGUUAGUCACCCCUGCGAUGAAGGUUUAUUCUUCCAUGUAAGUGAUUAUUGCGCACAGAAGUAUGUACGUUACUGCUCGAGACCGACCAGAUGAUUUUUGCACACAAGGAAGGAAUACACCGAAUAUCGAGAAUUAAAAAAAAAAUAAAAAAACUUUAAACCACACUAUUUUGUUAACCAUUCCACUUCGGAAUCCCUCGUCACAUGAAAUUAGAAAUCGGAAUAAACAAACGAGAAAACGCGUAUAAACUGUUUUCGCGAAUAGCGAUUUGCUUAAAAAGAGGUGACACGAAAACGCAACAAAACACGGAGCAGCGAAUAUGGAGAGAGCGAGUAACUAACUCACUAGCAAUUGUAAACAAAUACACAAAUCAAAUAAACAGAAGAAUAACAAAACACAGCAAAUAUUUAGCACACACAGCUUUAAUAAAGAAGAAGAGCAACAGAAGGCAGGUGGAAAAAAUUCAAUCGUAGCUCACUGUCUGAAACCUUACCAACUUAAGCGAAAUUUUUCAACUCUGCAAAGUUAACUGACUUCAUUAGAAAACACUUAAAUUCAGGCAGCGUCUACAAUGAACACGUUUACGAUGGCAGCAAAACACCAACUGUUCUGACGGUGCAGUUGAAAUCAGCUCGACUGUUGCUGUUCGCUGUUGAUGUUGAUGAAUGACAACAACAGUAGCGGCAACAACAAGAAAUAGUAAGUACAAAUGUGCGCCUUUGUUUAUCUGCGAGGCAACUCUAAAUGUAUAUGUACAUAUGUUUGUAUGUAUGUAUGUAUGUAUAUGCACACCCAAACAAAAAGCCACCACUGGCGUACUGAUGUCGAGCCAUUGACUAUACUAUACAAGGAGCAGCUGCAGAUACGUGCCAUAUAAAGAUGCAAUAGGUAUGUAUGUAUGGUAUUUUGUAUUCGUAGAUACAUGCAUGCAUACAUAUACAUAUACUUCUUCUGGUAUCAAUUCGCAAAUGUUGCAACGGAAAGUUCAGUUGUGGUCUCUGUGGUUAGCAUCUAGAGGCAAUGAGUUGACCGACAUGACCAGUCCAAUGCUGGCAAAUAUAAGUAUAAAUACACAAAUAAAAUAUAUAGGAAUAUGAGAACGAGUAGAACUAGUGUUCCAACGAACGAAUAUCAAUGUGGCUGCCCACAUGGAUAGCUAUAAUAUAUGUACAUAUGUACAUAUAUACUUUAUACAUAUAUAUGUGCUAUGUAUCUUGUAUUUACCAAUAUCACAAUCGUCGGCACAACCAGCUGAUGGACUGUCUGGAUGGCUGGUCGUACCGGUUUGUUUAUUUCUUCGUUCUUUUUCAAUGAUUGCGAAAGGUGUGUGUCUGCAGGUAGGUUUACUUCUUACUGGAUUCCAAUUGCAGAAGGUAAUUAAAUAAUCUACAAUUCUGCGUGAAAUGGAUAUGGAUUUGGAAAUUUUCCCAUUAAAGAGAAAUAUAACCAUUUGAAUAACCUUAUUCGAAGUGUCCUAUUAUAGGUUUGAGCCACUGUACAUAUACAUAUUGAAUGCAACAGGAAAUUUUUCAUUGGUAAAAGACUUAUCUGAGCUACUGUUGAUAUACGAACAACGCAUCACCAGUAACAGCACCACAAGAGUGUAGUAAACAAACAACACCCGUAUGUCAGGUAUGUACAUAUGUAUUAACUACAUAUCUGCAUAUAUACAACAGUAUGUAAAGACGAUGAACUUAGCAACAUAAACACGACACCAAACAAGCAAUACAAAGCGUUGCGAGUGCUAUUCUCCCACGACAUGCGCAACAUCAUAUGUCACCCCGUGAGCGCAAAUGCAAUUCGCAUCCAUAUACCGCAUAAGGGAUAUUAACCGUAAACGUGUUGAAGAUUUCAGUUGCAGUAAUGAGUACAACAACUUGAGCGAGGAAUAUAUAUGUACAUAAAUACUGCAAGACACCCUACAAGCGGUUUAAUCUAUUUUAAGUCAAACAUAAAGAGGGAGAAAAAUUCGGAAGAAAUAAGAGCAUAAGCUGGAGCGGCGAUUUAUUUUCUAAAAUAUGUAACAUAUGAAAAUUAAAUUUUUUGUAAACCUUAGAUUGGUUAUUACUGUAAGACCCCCCCAGGUAGAAAACACAGCGAACGAUCAAUAUAUCAUAAAAUUAAUAAUUGAACUUCACUGCUAUAAGGAAUCUUUUUAAAAUAAAUACAAGAGUACAAAGUAAGAUUUGUUCAAGUAAUGUGGGAGAUCUUAGGAUCAUAUUUUUUUCCAUUUCUACAUCUAUCUGUAUAUGUAGUAUAUAAGAUUUAAGUAUAGUAGUGUUCACAAUAAUAGCAGUGAUAUCCAGUAUUUUGCCGUAUACUAUAUAAAAUGAUUUAUACACCAUUCAGUUAAAAGGAAAAUGUAGAUUAUAUGCACUUAUUAUAUUUUAUAGUAACUAUAUCGUGUAAUUUAUAAUAAUAAUUUUAAAAAGGAAUUUUUUUGAACUUCGAAAUUAAAAAUUUCGAUUUUGGAGGCUAACUUCGAAAAUUGGAGAAUGCAAAGAGGUGGUUAGUGCAAUGCGGGGACUCUUUGCUUGCAGGACAUACAUAUGUAUAUUUGGUAUGUCCGGUUUUAGUCUGAAUAGGUUUAACCUGCUACAUUAUCCAGAAUGAAUUUGCGCGAGGGUUACUCAAGUUUCGCGAGGCAACUCGAGCUCUGUGUUAGCGAUGGGUGGUGUUUCAUCUCCAAGUACGCUAUUCACGGGGAGGGUCGAUGAAGGUCCUAAUGGCUUCUCUUUAAAUGACGUUUAAAUUCAAUUCUUUCCAUUAAAACACAUAUUCCAGAUAUUACCUUUAAGAAUAUUAAGAACCAUUUUGAUGUUUGCUAAUAACCGUAUGAAGUGGUCUAGUCAAAAUUUCGAAUUAUUUCAAAGAUGAAUAAGGGUAAACAUCUAUUGUCAAAUUGCUCCAAUGAGCUUCAGUAAUCUUCCGAUGUAGAAUACAAGCCGUUAUUGACCUUUACAAUUAUAUCGAAAUAUUUUAAUAUGUUUUAGAAUUAGAGGAAGAAAUUAUGCAUAAAUAGUCGAAACAAAUUAAUAGCACUUAUUUAUAGAAACUUAUUAUUUUCUAUAUUUACUAAACGAGCAAUGCUAUAAUUAUGACCAAAACUGCAUAUCUAUGUAUCUAUAUCCUCUCAUUUCGUACGAUACAUAUUCGACACGAAGUUUUUUCUCCACCAAAAUGAACUCAUUUACAUAAAAAAUAAUAUGUACGGAUCGGUCAUUUACAUGAAUAGUGUCAUAACUCAAAGAACACGAUUUUUGAGUUGAGUAUGAAGAAAUGUGCGCAAUUUUUUCGUCCAUAUUGUAUACAAAUUUCAUUCCGAUGUGUAGAAAAAUUAACCGUGAAAUAAGAAUGUGCCGUUAUUAAACUUGUUAUGUUGCAUGAUUUUUUAACCGCAAAAACGACACAUCUCAGUUGUGCCAAAAUUAGGCAUGUUUUCUUUUCAGAAAGAAUGACAUAUUUUGUGUUAGAACGAUAUUUGCGAAAACGGAAUUAAAGUUUUCAUGUUGCUUUUUUCGGCAAUAACGACACAUUUAACUUAUGACAGCGAAAUUGAUAUAUAUUUUUCACAAAUAACGGUAAAUUCAAAAGGGGUCACGCUUAUGCCUACGACAAAGUUUCAGUACACUUAUUUUAGUCCACUUAUGAUCAUCAUAUUAUUAAAGAUAUUGCCACUAUUUUUUUUUCAAUACACUUAUGGCAUUUUUCUAUAUUUGCUAAAUAAGAGACAAUUGAAAACUUUAAACCAUUCUCCUGAAAAAUCGACUUUUUGGACUUGUGACAUUAUUCAUGUAAAUGAGCGAUUUACAAAUACAUACAUAUAUAUAUAAAUCUAUGCAUGGACGUUAGCAUAUGGUGAUUGUGAGAGCCUUCGCAUUUCGUUAUUUAUUUAUUAAUAUAUAUUAUUU